GACGGUUUGGUCAAGUGGUCUCAGGUGCCAGAUUUAGGCUCUUGGUCCUAAAGGGCGUGGGUUCAAAUCUCACAGCCAUCA
rnacentral:tRNA from 1 species